rnacentral:rRNA from 1 species
GAUGAACGCUGGCGGCGUGCCUAAUACAUGCAAGUCGAGCGAACAGACGAGGAGCUUGCUCCUCUGACGUUAGCGGCGGACGGGUGAGUAACACGUGGAUAACCUACCUAUAAGACUGGGAUAACUUCGGGAAACCGGAGCUAAUACCGGAUAAUAUAUUGAACCGCAUGGUUCAAUAGUGAAAGACGGCUUUGCUGUCACUUAUAGAUGGAUCCGCGCCGCAUUAGCUAGUUGGUAAGGUAACGGCUUACCAAGGCAACGAUGCGUAGCCGACCUGAGAGGGUGAUCGGCCACACUGGAACUGAGACACGGUCCAGACUCCUACGGGAGGCAGCAGUAGGGAAUCUUCCGCAAUGGGCGAAAGCUUGACGGAGCAACGCCGCGUGAGUGAUGAAGGUCUUCGGAUCGUAAAACUCUGUUAUUAGGGAAGAACAAAUGUGUAAGUAACUAUGCACGUCUUGACGGUACCUAAUCAGAAAGCCACGGCUAACUACGUG